CCAGGAGUGCACCAACUUAUCAAAUAUUCUGGAUAAUCUAGAGGUAUGCAUAACAGCAGUAUACCCUGACCAAACGAAGCUUUGAGACAGUAACAUCGACAUAAAAACACACGUCACUCGCAGGCGAGGAUGACGCUCUUCCACUCUCAAGCAGCUAACAUUUCUCUACACUUGAUCCGCACCGAGUCCGUGGUAAAAGGAGCCUGAGGAUAACUUUUUAGUUGAAAAGGUGAUGGAGUAUAGAAUGCUUCAUGGGGAUUACUAGAAUUGCUUCCUGAACUGUAAGAAGAAACAUAAAGAAGAAACCAAAUCUCAGCAUUUGGUCAGGUGACAGACAGUUCAUUGUUGAAUUUCCUGCGUUUCAAAGUGAUUGGCUCCUGCUUUCCUGAAGAAUUGAAUACAAUAAGAUGGAGAUUCUACAAUCACUAAAUAUGUGACCCUCGUGCAUGAAUGAGCAGAACUGAGCAUUUACAGUAAAUCAAAACCAUGAAAAUACUGAACAAGGGUACAGAAACUCACUGCUCAGUAAUGGAUA